GUCCACGCCCUAAACGAUGUCUACUUGCUGUUGGGGGCAACCUUAGUAGCGAAGCUAACGCGAGAAGUAGACCGCCUGGGGAGUACGGUCGCAAGAUUAAAACUCAAAGGAAUUGACGGGGACCCGCACAAGCGGUGGAUGAUGUGGAUUAAUUCGAUGCAACGCGAAGAACCUUACCUGCUCUUGACAUGUACGGAAGACUACAGAGAUGUGGUUGUGCCUUCGGGAACCGUAACACAGGUGCUGCAUGGCUGUCGU
rnacentral:rRNA from 1 species